CUGCGCGCCGCCCCCCCUCCCAUGUCCUUCCACACAGCAACGAGUGGAUGGAUUAGACUGUUUGGUUUUCUUCCCCCAAAGCACUACUAAAUCAUUUCAUCAGUGCUGCAGAUGGAUAACAGUGCGAGACCUCUGCUUUAUAUGUUCAUAGGUUCAUUCCAGGAAAACCAAACAUUUGAAGAAGGAAGCAUACACACCCACUUGAAAACUGGAGCAUACAAAUAGUUUUAAAAACAAUAAUUUGUUUUGCAAAAAAAGAUUUACCCAGACUCCUUCUUGUGGACUGUUAGAUCUCAUAUAACAAGGGAGACAAAGCCAGUGCUAUUACAUACAUGUUACAUGUAUAUGUUACAUGCAUACCACAUUCUUGUAAUUUUUGUUUGGGAUUGUUAAGUGUUUUUGUUUGUUUGUUUGUUUUUGAGACUGAACCUCCCCAUGUAGACCAGGCUGGCCUUGAAUUCACAGAGAUCCACCUGCCUCUGUCCCCAAGCGUUUGGAUCAAGGCGUUUGCCAUCAUGCACAGUUUGGAACUAAGUUGGUAACUGGCCAGAAACCCUGGGGACCAGCUGAAUAUGAACUGCAAGUGUGUCCUUACUGGAGAGCUUUGCCUCAGUAUUUUACGUAUUUCUUUCAGUCGGAGAUUUAAAUGGCUUGCUGUCUUCAGAAGAAUUUUCACAGUCCAGUGUUGUCGUCAUGUAACAGCCGCCUUGCUGUUUGCUAGGUCACCUGGAACUUUUAUCAUUCUUUUCAAAUGAUUGGCAGAAUAUUUCCAGCAGCAUCUUAAUAUUAUUCAACUGGUCUCUAAUGGAUGGACAUUUAAAUUGUUUACAACUUUCAAUAUUUUAUCUUUUUAAAAAAUUUUUUUUUUUAAUUUUGCAAUACA